rnacentral:rRNA from 1 species
GACGAACGCUGGCGGCGUGCCUAACACAUGCAAGUCGAACGGCAAGGCCCUGCUUUUGUGGGGUGCUCGAGUGGCGAACGGGUGAGUAACACGUGAGUAACCUGCUCUUGACUUUGGGAUAACUUCAGGAAACUGGGGCUACUACCGUAUAGCAGCUCCUGCUGCGUGGUGGGGGUUGGAAAGUUUCGGCGGUUGGGGAUGGACUCGCGGCUUAUGAGCUUGUUGGUUGGGUAGUGGCUUACCAAGGCUUUGAAGGGUAGCCGGCCUGUGAGGGUGACCGGCCACAUUGGGACUGAGAUACGGCCCAGACUCCUACGGGAGGCAGCAGUGGGGAAUAUUGCACAAUGGGCGGAAGUCUGAUGCAGCAGCGCCGCGUGCGGGAUGACGGCCUUCGGGGUGUAAACCGCUGUCGGCUGAGACGAAGCGUGAGUGACGGUAAUGGGUAAAGAAGCACCGGCUAACUACGUG